CACUGCUUCUGCUUCAGUGUGUUCACAGCCUGUAUAGCGAUCCUGAGAAUUUCUGGCAGGGGAUUGAGGGUGGCAGCAAAGACAGGGAGUAAACAAGACUUUCCAGAAUGUCAGCAGGCAUCAACAAUGUGGCAAGUGCUGUAACUUUUGAAGACCCCAGUCUUUGGUGGAAAACCAGUAAUGCUGGUCAUGCUGUCUCUUAGUGGGCACUACAGGGAGGGGUAGAUGGCUGUAGAUUCCAGAAACCAAGGGGGAAGAUAACUGGAAACUUACAAAAAGCCAUGUGAAUGAGCUUGGAAGCAGAUUCUCCAGGUCUUCAAAUAACUGCAGCCCUGGAGAACAACUUAAAUGCAACCUCCUGAGAGUCUCCAAGUAAGAGCUACCCAACUAAACUGCUGCGACAUUCUUCAACCUCAAAACUGGGAUGAGAUGACAAAUAUUUAUUUUUUUUAAAUGCUAAGUUUUGGGGCAAUCUGUUGCUUUGCAAUAACUAAUACACUCCCUACAUUCUGUAUUCCAAAAUUUUUCAUCACUUUUCAUCUAUUACAGUCUCUCUCCUUCUUUGCACUUGGAGGUUUAUUUUAUUUUUUCUUUUAUGUUGCCAUUUUAAUAGCACUUUGGGGAAAAUAGAGAGACACAAACAUAGUCAAUUCACCAAAUUUUGCUUGAAGUUCAAGGAAGUAAAUCUUAAGUGCAGAUUUGGAGGAGGGAAGGAAUAGGACUUAGAAAUGCUGUGUAAGAAAAAUAUUUGAGCCAGAAAAAAAUUGAAAUAAACACUAAGAGGCAAAGAAAACCAUUUUAUGGAAAAUCAAAAGCAAUUGAAAAAGAUACCUUUAUUUCACAUUUAAUUAAUAUGAUUCCGAUUUUUAAGAAUAUGAUCUUAGAAAUACUUAUUUUGUCUGCCCAACACCUCUCCCCUUUCUGGAAACAGAACUAUCCUUUUUGGGGGAAAUGUGAUUUUCUUAUUUCUCGUACCAUAUUGUUCUAAUGCACGCUGCCAAUUAUAGAACUGAUCUCUUUGUCCACAAGAGUAGGCAUGUGAGCUUGGCUGCCUUUUGGGUCCUUCCACAGGAAUCUUCAAAUGAACAUUUCAAAAAAAGAAGCCUCCUUUUCAUGAUGAAGAGAUGAGUUGUCAAAAGCCAGGUUCUCCAGGGCAGAAGAUUUCAAGAGAAGCACAAAUGAGAGUUGGAGGGAGAGAGAGUCCUGCUGGUGUCUGUUACUAUGACCCUUGAGUCUUCCUGACAGAGAUGGUUACAACAGCCUAGAGCACUCCUCUGAAGAGAUAUCCAUACUGGUAAAGAUAACUCAUUUUGGGAGAAGACAACUGUCAUACCAUGUCAUGAAGAUACUCAUGCAGUCCUAUGGAGAAGUUCAUUGGUAAGAAACUAAGCUGGAAUAAACUUGACAGACAUGCUUAACAGGAAAUAUGACUGGAAGGCCUCAGGAAACUUACAAUCAUGGCAGAAAAUGAAAGGGAAGCAAGCAUGUCUUACCAUGGCAGAGCAGGGGGAAGACAGUGAUAGGGGAGGUGCUAUGCACUUUCAAACAACCAGAUCUCGUGAGAACUUCAUCACAAGAACAGUAAGGGGAAAGUCAACCCCUAUGAUUCUAUCACCUCCCAUGAGGCCCCUCCUUUAACAUGUGGGAAUCACAAUUAAAGAUUAAACAUGAGAUUUGGUUGGUCACAGGACCAAAGCUAUUCAAUAAUUUUGCCUAAAGUAAUAAUAUUUCCUUAAAUAGAAAUGGGGAAAAUAAAGCCAUAGUAUUUUGCUAGU